UCUUCGAAAUUGCAAGCUGACCAAAUAUUCAAUUUUCUCUUUAAAUGGCAGGAAGUGAUUGUGAUAUUCAGUACCUUCAUAUAUUCGUAUUUUUGCACAAUAAGCGAAUAAAAUAAUGCCAUUUGAAUCACCCACUGUACGAAAACAAAAACGAAUGAAAAAUCACAUCGCACACUCGGAGUUCCCGGUAGUGAUCUCGAAAAAGCCGGUACCAAAAUAGCCAGUUACGUGGGCAUCAUCUUCGGCGGAGUACCUCACCCCCUGCCCCACUAGCUGUAGGGACGGACCAAUAGGCAAUAUCCGUAGGUGCAAGGGCCCAUCAGCGUCAACGUGAGUGGGUCAGGGCCCAUACAGAGCGUCCCGACGAUGUCAUCCCCACCCCCACAGCUUCUGCCUUCGCAUUCGCAUUUAAACCUGGAGCGGCUAACGAGAAAUCAUUCCACAUCCAUCGCUCGUGAUACGCGCUACAGUAUUACAAGUGUUCCUCAUUUCCUAGUUCCAUUCAUUCAUUCAUUCAAGUUCACCGAGCACGAUUUCAAAAUGUCUGGCUUAGACCCUACCGAAACCUACUAAGCAGUUGUUGACUCGUGUCAAUACACGUCGUCGAAAGUUUUAAAAAAUCGUCGUCACUUGCAUCAAACGAAACACUUCGCCAUGGACGGAGGAAAAUUGGAUCCCACAAACCAGUACUAACCGGCGACCUUCUGGGUGUCCACGUGCGUGUUCACUGUUUGUUUACAUUGACUCUGAGCUGAUAUGGCACCCUGCCUACCACACGCAGACCCAACCGGCCUCUACUAAUGUGGCACUUCAACCAGGGGGAUGGCGGACGCCCUGAGACCUCCAGCUGUCGAAGGAAAAGAUUUGGUUGAAACAAAGUUCCACUUCCAACUGAUCACUGCCACAUCCAGUUACCACCGUCGUUCAUCUGGUUAUAUACACAAGACUGAAGCUUGUUGAUUUUAAAUGAUGUAUUUUGUUAUUUUAAAUUAUAUUUGUAGGUUAAGUUUCUCCGCUAGAUCAACAUUCAGCAAUAAUGUUCAUCUUUCUAAUGUAUAUACUUCCCAAUGUAUAAUGUCCAGGUAAAGUUUUCUUACUUAUCCUAAGUAUUAAAUGAUUUUUAUUACAUUUUA